GAUCCUGGCUCAGGAUGAACGCUAGCUACAGGCUUAACACAUGCAAGUCGAGGGGAAACGACAUCGAAAGCUUGCUUCCGAUGGGCGUCGACCGGCGCACGGGUGAGUAACGCGUAUCCAACCUGCCCAUCACUUGGGAAUAACCUUGCGAAAGUAAGACUAAUACCCAAUGAUAUCCCACGAAGGCAUCCGAAUGGGAUUAAAGAUUUAUCGGUGAUGGAUGGGGAUGCGUCUGAUUAGCUUG
rnacentral:rRNA from 1 species